rnacentral:rRNA from 1 species
AUACGGAGGAUCCGAGCGUUAUCCGGAUUUAUUGGGUUUAAAGGGUGCGCAGGCGGCCAUUUAAGUCAGCGGUUAAAUCGUGGGGCUCAACCCCAUUCUGCCGUUGAUACUGGGUGGCUUGAUUGCGGUCGAGGUUGGCGGAAUUCGUUGUGUAGCGGUGAAAUGCAUAGAUAUGACGAAGAACACCGAUUGCAUAGGCAGCAGACCAGUCCACAAAUGGCGCUCAUGCACUAAAGUGCGUAGAUAGAACAGGAUUAGAUACACUGGUAGUCCGCACAAUAAACGAUGAAUACUUGUUUUCGGCGAUAUAAUGUCGGAGGCAAAGCGAAAGCGAUAAGUAUUCCACCUGGGGAGUACGCCGGCAACGGUGAAACUCAAAGGAAUUGACGGGG